CCUACGGGUGGCAGCAGUGAGGAAUAUUGGUCAAUGGACGAGAGUCUGAACCAGCCAAGUAGCGUGAAGGAUGACUGCCCUAUGGGUUGUAAACUUCUUUUUUAUGGGAAUAAAAUGUUCCACGUGUGGGAUUUUGUAUGUACCAUAUGAAUAAGGAUCGGCUAACUCCGUGCCAGCAGCCGCGGUAAUACGGAGGAUCCGAGCGUUAUCCGGAUUUAUUGGGUUUAAAGGGAGCGUAGGUGGAUUGUUAAGUCAGUUGUGAAAGUUUGCGGCUCAACCGUAAAAUUGCAGUUGAAACUGGCAGUCUUGAGUACAGUAGAGGUGGGCGGAAUUCGUGGUGUAGCGGUGAAAUGCUUAGAUAUCACGAAGAACUCCGAUUGCGAAGGCAGUUCACUGGACUGCAACUGACACUGAGGCUCGAAAGUGUGGGUAUCAAACAGGAUUAGAUACCCUUGUAGUC
rnacentral:rRNA from 1 species